UGAGGAAUAUUGGUCAAUGGGCGAGAGCCUGAACCAGCCACGUCGCGUGAAGGAAGACUGACCUUACGGUUUGUAAACUUCUUUUGUAGAGGGGUAAUGGCAGAUACGUGUAUUUGCGUGAAAGUACUCUACGAAUAAGCAUAGGCUAACUCCGUGCCAGCAGCCGCGGUAAUACGGGGGAUGCGAGCGUUAUCCGGAAUUAUUGGGUUUAAAGGGUGCGCAGGUGGCUAAUCAGGUCAGUGGUGAAAAGCUAUGGCUCAACCAUGGUCUUGCCAUUGAAACCGUAUAGCUAGAGAGGAGACGAGGUAGGCGGAAUGUGUGGUGUAGCGGUGAAAUGCAUAGAUAUCACACAGAACUCCGAUUGCGAAGGCAGCUUACCAGGCUUUAUCUGACACUUAGGCACGACAGCGUGGGGAUCAAACAGG
rnacentral:rRNA from 1 species